rnacentral:rRNA from 1 species
CAGUCGCCACGGUAAUACGAAGGGGGCUAGCGUUGUUCGGAAUUACUGGGCGUAAAGCGCACGUAGGCGGAUAUUUAAGUCAGGGGUGAAAUCCCGCAGCUCAACUGCGGAACUGCCUUUGAUACUGGGUAUCUUGAGUAUGGAAGAGGUUAGUGGAAUUGCGAGUGUAGAGGUGAAAUUUGUAGAUAUUCGCAGGAACACCAGUGGCGAAGGCGGCUAACUGGUCCAUAACUGACGCUGAGGUGCGAAAGCGUGGGGAGCAAACAGGAUUAGAUACCCGCGUAGUCCCUGUCUCUUAUAC